rnacentral:rRNA from 1 species
UACGUAGGGACCGAGCGUUGUCCGGAAUCAUUGGGCGUAAAGAGCGUGUAGGCGGCCAACUAAGUCCUGCGUGAAAUCUCGGGGCUCAACCCCGAGCGGUCGUGGGAAACUGGUUGGCUAGAGUGCGGGAGAGGAGAGUGGAAUUCCUGGUGUAGCGGUGAAAUGCGCAGAUAUCAGGAAGAACACCCGUGGCGAAGGCGGCCCCCUGGUUGGAUACUGACGCUGAUACGCGAAAGCGUGGGGAGCAAACAGG